rnacentral:rRNA from 1 species
GACGAACGCUGGCGGCGUGCCUAACACAUGCAAGUCGAACGGGAAUAUUCGAAGUACUUGUACAUUGAAUAUUCUAGUGGCGGACGGGUGAGUAACACGUGAGCGACCUGGCUUUCAGAGGGGGAUAACAGUUGGAAACAGCUGCUAAUACCGCAUAAGACCACAGAGGUGCAUGCCUCAGGGGUAAAGAGCAAUCCGCUGAAAGAUGGGCUCGCGUUCCAUUAGCUAGUUGGUGAGGUAACGGCUCACCAAGGCGACGAUGGAUAGCCGACCUGAGAGGGUGAUC